rnacentral:rRNA from 1 species
UACGUAGGUGACCAGCGUUGUCCGGAUUUACUGGGCGUAAAGAGCGCGCAGGCGGUCGUUCAAGUCGAGUGUGAAAGCCCCCGGCUCAACUGGGGAGGGUCACUCGAUACUGAUCGACUUGAAGGCAGGAGAGGGAAGCGGAAUUCCCGGUGUAGUGGUGAAAUGCGUAGAUAUCGGGAGGAACACCAAGUGGCGAAGGCGGGCUUCCCUGGCCUGUUCCUUGGACGUCUAGGCGCCGAAAGGCGUAGGGGAGGCAAAC